rnacentral:misc_RNA from 1 species
GAUGAAAGAACGCAGCGAAAUGCGAUACUUGGUGUGAAUUGCAGAAUCCCGCGAAUCAUCGAGUCUUUGAACGCAAGUUGCGCCCGAAGCCAUUUGGUCGAGGGCACGUCUGCCUGGGUGUCACGCAUCGUUGCCCCCAACCCCAUUGCUUCUCCAAGAGACGAGGGCGGUUUGUGGGGCGGACAUUGGCCUCCCGUGAGCUUUUGAUUGCGGCUGGCCUAAAAGGGAGUCCUCGGCGACGAGCGCCACGACAAUCGGUGGUUGACAAACCCUCGUGUCCCGUCGUGCGUGCCCUGUCGCUCAUCUCGUGCUCUGUGACCCUAUAGUGUCGCGCUUGCGACUCUUCCAACGCGACCCCAGGUCAGGCGGGACUACCCGCUGAAUUUAAGCAUAUCAAUAAGCGGAGGA